AUUGAACGCUGGCGGCAGGCCUAACACAUGCAAGUCGAGCGGAUGAGAGGAGCUUGCUUCUUGAUUCAGCGGCGGUCGGGUGAGUAAUGCCUAGGAAUCUGCCUGGUAGUGGGGGACAACGUUUCGAAAGGAACGCUAAUACCGCAUACGUCCUACGGGAGAAAGCAGGGGACCUUCGGGCCUUGCGCUAUCAGAUGAGCCUGGGUCGGAUUAGCUAGUUGGUGAGGUAAUGGCUCACCAAGGCGACGAUCCGUAACUGGUCUGAGAGGAUGGUCAGUCACACUGGAACUGAGACACGGGCCAGACUCCGACGGGAGGCAGCAGUGGGGAAUAUUGGACAAUGGGCGAAAGCCUGAUCCAGCCAUGCCGCGUGUGUGAAGAAGGUCUUCGGAUUGUAAAGCACUUUAAGUUGGGAGGAAGGGUUGUACGUUAAUACCGUGCAAUUUUGACGUUACCGACAGAAUAAGCACCGGCUAACUCUGUGCCAGCCGCCGCCGUAA
rnacentral:rRNA from 1 species